UGGGGUUAAAGCAGUGGAUUUUGAGUGGAGCAGAUUGUCCUCUGUGAUGUAUGUGGGCCUCAUCCAACCAGUUGAAGGCCUGAAUAGAGCAGAAGACUGACUUCCCAGCAAAGCAAGAGGGAAUAUCCUGCUAGUGGAAGCCCUUCAAACUUGAAAGGCAGUAUCAGAUUUUCCCUGGGUCUCCAAACUUUGGCCUACCCUGCAGCUUCCAUAAUCAUCUACUCAGAUGUACCUGGAUAAGACUAGGAUUUGAGUCAGUAAUGCAUGGGAGCAGGUGCCAAGGUGUGAUAGUUAACUGACUGUGUCAACUUGAGUAAGAAAAACCCAACUAACUUGGAUCAGCAUAGUUCUGGGUGUGGCUGAGGGGAUUUACUGAAGACAGAAGACUCACCCUAGGGUGGCCUGUCACCUGAAAGGAAUAAAAAGGAAAUGAAGAAGGAAAGCUCACUUCUGUUUCUUCAGAGGAGCUCCAGUCUUCACCUUCACCUUGGAUGUUGUCUUCAGCCUUCCAUCGCAGAACCUUUGGCAUCUUGAUAAGGACUCACAUGGGCCACUUCAGUGAGCUCCAGGCCUUCGACAGGAUCCUUCAGGUCUCCAACACACAGACAGCCCUUUUGCAGUCUUCCAUUACUGAUCCUGUGGGCAGCCAUUAAACAUUGACAAUCAUCAAUGGAUAUAUGUACCUUUGUGGGAGAUUAGGAGUCAAAUGGAAGCUCCCAGCAUUCUAUUGGAACAACAACAACAAAAAUGAGAAUAGACACAUUGAAAAAGGUAAGAAGAAAAGCUCCAUUUUACCUACAUCAUCCCUUCCCUAUAGUGGCACAGCUCAGCAACAAGAAAGACCUACCCACCCCUUGGCUGUGAUUUUUCCCAUAGAGGACAGUGAGAAUCUAACAAGUGCCCAGCUUCCCCAGCCAUGGGGGACCCACUUCUUUCUUGCCCCACCCAGAUCACUGAAGAGAUUAGUACAGUUGAAUAAUCUGGAGGCAUCUAAGGUCAGGGGAAACAGGCAGAGGCUCAUAGUAACUGGAGCACAGAAUUCAACAAAGGGAUACAAUAUUGUUUCUGUUGACUGCCUCACAAAUUUCUCUAAGAGAUCCACCCAUGAAUCUCAUAGGAAAUACCACCUGGGGACCUCCCCAACUGACUCACAUGCACCCCUAGCACUGUGUAGCCCCUCCCCCCAGCAGGCAGCAUGCAUACGCACUCACAGAUGUCCCAAGUCUGCAGAUUGUACAUGAGCACACACAGACAGAGAUGGGCUCUACAGGAUUGGGAAAAGGCACUUACACUUGAAUACUUCAGGGCAGUGCCUUAGGGGAAAUGAACAAGAGGUUCACAGAACCUGUUAUAACUGUUAUAAUUAAUGAACUCAAUAAAGGUGCAGGAUACAAAAAUUAAUAUACCAAAACUAGUCAUAUUUUUAUACACUAACUGGAAACUAUAUGAAAAAGACACUAAGCAAAGAAACUCUAU